rfam:Schistosoma mansoni, Puerto Rico, WGS project CABG01000000 data, contig: 0137
AGCCUUCUGAAUCCAUGCCGAGAUUUCUCCAGACGCCAAACCAUUAGUGCUGAUGAGACUCCCAAAAUCAAUGGGGCG